CAGCCCACGGCAUUGCCAUGGCACUUCACUGGUGUUGUCUCAACACAGCCCGGGGUUACCUCACUGCAGGCAGGGCUCCAAGGGCAGGCCUUGCUGAGGCCAGGGCCACCCAAGGACACCCCAGGCCCAGAGGCUGCGGAGGGACAGCAAAGCCGCCUCCACUGUCCUAGUUCAGCCAUGAACAUUUUCAUUUCCUCAAGGAUGUGAUACACCGUAGAACCAUGAAUUGUUUGUUUUUCCUUCCCUUGUGAGUUACAUUGUACCCUGUGUUCCAGAUGCCUUACGUGUUUUCUAUCAUUAAAUCCUCCCAACCAACCUUUUGAGCCAAGGCCCCCAUCUCAGUUUCACAGUUGAGCAGCCUGAGGUUCGGAGACAACAAAGCGGAGCCUUGUCAGCCCUCCCGAGGAGAGUCGGACAUCUCUAGGCUGCCGAGCCAAAGGCUGUCCAGUGCAUCUGCUGCUUCUCCAUCUUCCUUGCUGACAGCCCCUUUGGAGAAGAAAUCCCGAUGCAAAAGGCCUGCGGGUGACCAGGACACAAUGACCCUGAGCUGCUCCUGGUCACCAUGCAUCCCUGCUCACGGGAGAAGCCUAUUGGUUCUAAGGUUGUCCUGGUAAGGAAUGCAGAACGAACAAGCUACUGCUAACUGAAGAAUCUGGGAAAAGUCAAAAGGAGAGAGAGGACGCCAAUUCAUAUAUACUGCUAACCUCCCAGAAUCCGCCUCGCUGGAAUCCAUCUUGGCUGAGAGAUGUGUGCGCCACCAGGAAGGAUGCUGCGUCAGGACGACUGGCCAGAGGCAACCCAGAAACGAACUUCAUCACCGUGAAGCCCGAGCCUGCGAGUUGCACACAGAGCAGUUCUCGCGGGCCCAUGUACCCUGCUGCUCUCCACCUGGGUGCCCCCUCCCAAUAAAGUCUCUUGCUUUGCCAGCA